GGGGGCCCGCAAGCGGUGGAGCAUGUGGUUUAAUUCGACGCAACGCGAAGAACCUUACCUGGGCUCGAAAUGCUGUGGACCAGCUUAUGAAAGUAGGCCUUCCCGCAAGGGACCGCAGUAUAGGUGCUGCAUGGCUGUCGUCAGCUCGUGUCGUGAGAUGUUGGGUUAAGUCCCGCAACGAGCGCAACCCUUGUCCUGUGUUGCCAUACCGAAAGGUGGAACUCGCAGGAGACCGCCAGGGAUAACCUGGAGGAAGGUGGGGAUGACGUCAAGUCCUCAUGGCCUUUAUGUCCAGGGCUACACACGUGCUACAAUGGACGGUACAAAGGGCUGCCAACCCGCGAGGGGGAGCCAAUCCCAAAAAACCGUUCUCAGUUCGGAUUGCAGGCUGCAACUCGCCUGCAUGAAGCUGGAAUCGCUAGUAAUGGCGGAUCAGAACGCCGCCGUGAAUACGUUCCCGGGCCUUGUACACACC
rnacentral:rRNA from 1 species